UAAUACGGAGGGUGCAAGCGUUAUUCGGAAUUACUGGGCGUAAAGCGCACGUAGGCCGCUUUGUAAGUCAGGGGUGAAAUCCCACGGCUCAACCGUGGAACUGCCCUUGAAACUGCGAAGCUUGAAUCCUGGAGAGGGUGGCGGAAUUCCUGGUGUAGGAGUGAAAUCCGUAGAUAUCAGGAGGAACACCGGUGGCGAAGGCGGCCACCUGGACAGGUAUUGACGCUGAGGUGCGAAAGUGUGGGGAGCAAACAGG
rnacentral:rRNA from 1 species